rnacentral:rRNA from 1 species
UACGUAGGUGGCGAGCGUUGUCCGGAAUUAUUGGGCGUAAAGAGCGCGUAGGCGGGUAAAUAAGUCUGUUUUAAAAGUGCGGGGCUCAACCCCGUGAUGGAAUGGAAACUGUUUAUCUUGAGUACCGGAGAGGAAAGUGGAAUUCCCAGUGUAGCGGUGAAAUGCGUAGAUAUUGGGAGGAACACCAGUGGCGAAGGCGACUUUCUGGACGGUGUCUGACACUGAGGCGCGAAAGCCAGGGAAGUGAACGGGAUUAGAAACCCUUGUAGUCCUGGUCACGUGUUUCGGUGC